rnacentral:rRNA from 1 species
AUUGAACGCUGGCGGCAUGCCUUACACAUGCAAGUCGAACGGCAGCACGGGAGCAAUCCUGGUGGCGAGUGGCGAACGGGUGAGUAAAGUAUCGGAACGUUCCCAGUCGUGGGGGAUAACGUAGCGAAAGUUACGCUAAUACCGCAUACGAUCUAUGGAUGAAAGCGGGGGAUCGCAAGACCUCGCGCGAUUGGAGCGGCCGAUAUCAGAUUAGGUAGUUGGUGGGGUAAAGGCUCACCAAGCCGACGUUCUGUAGCUGGUCUGAGAGGACGACCAGCCACACUAGGACUGGGACACGGCCCAGACUCCUACGGGAGGCAGCAGUGGGGAAUUUUGGACAAUGGGCGAAAGCCUGAUCCAGCCAUGCCGCGUGCAGGAUGAAGGCCUUCGGGUUGUAAACUGCUUUUGUACGGAACGAAAAGGUUUGGGCUAAUAAGCUGAGCUCAUGACGGUACCGUAAGAAUAAGCACCGGCUAACUACGUGCCAGCAGCCGCCGUAA